UUUUGUUAGAUGAUGCAUUAAUAUACAAGUAGUCCAAGAACAUUAAAUAUAUAUAUCUUGGUGUUCAAACUCCAUCAUGUACAAAGCUGUCUUCUCUUAAAAUCUUGAAAAUGGUCCUUGGUUAACUCAAUUUCUAGCUCUAUAUAUUUUAGUAAAUAGUUAUGAAAGGUACCAGGAUUAUAACUUAUUUGCCAGACGCACGUUUCCUUUACAUAAGACUCAUCAGUGAUGCUCAUAUCAAUUUUUUUUUAAAGCCAAACAAGUACAAAGUUGAAGAGCAUUGAGGAUCCAAAAUUCUGAAAGGUUGUGCCAAAUACGUCUAAGGUAAUCUAUGCCUGGGAUAAGAAAAUCCUUAUUUUUUUUCGAUAAAUUCAAAGUUUAGUAAACAGGAAAUUUAUAAAAAUGACCACAUUAUUGAUAUUCAUGUCAACACUUUGGUGUUGACUACUGUGCUAGGUGGCAUUGACCCAUUGGUGUAAAUAGUUAUCAAAGGUACCAGGAUUAUAAUUUAGUACGCCAGACAGGGUCUAUCUUUGUAUUGAUAACUUUAUACAUUUGUAGCAUGCAAAACUCAAUCACUUCUAGAUCUCCUUUCAAAAAGGUAUACUGUAUUAACAUGGAAUGUUCAAGUAAAAUAUAGAAUGUAACAAAUAUUUUAGAUGUAAAAAACAUGUGCCUGUUCUGUGAUUUAUAUGCAAUAUGGGACCAUAUAUAUAUUUAUGUGAUUUUGAUAUUAAUUUAUUAAAUAUUAUUUAUUACUCUUAAAAUAAGAGGAAGUUUCUCAUCUACAAUCUUAUAAAUAAACUUUAAAAAAAAAAGUAUUACCCUGAGAUAAGAUGUAGCUGAGGAGUUCAAAGAGUUGAAAGAUGAUCAGUUUUAUAAUAUCUCUAAUUUUUGUUUGAACAUUUUAUUUUGCUAUUUGAUUUUAAAGGACUUUCAGUUUUGAAUUUUAUUUUGAGUUCAGUAUUAUUGUGAUUUAACUUUUUUGCUAGUGAACUUCACUGAUAUCCUCUACCAUCUCUUCACUCUACAAAACUGAGAAAACCCAUUCUCAGUUGAGUACCUUGAGAUGGAAAAUUAUCACACAAAAAGAAGACCCAUUGGUAAAAAUUUAGAAAGAAAUUAGUUAUUAUUAAAAUUUUAUUUAUUGAAGAU
rnacentral:lncRNA from 1 species